GGUUUCGGGUCGGGCCGAGCGGUCUGCCGAUGGGUAUGCACCUAUAGGCGCGCCCUUCUUUCCGGAGACCGCUUCUCCUCAUAACUGAGCGGGCGUGGGAGACGGAUCGUUUACUUUGAAAAAAUCAGAGUGGUUCAAGCAGGCAGCUCGCUCUUGCAUGGUACAGCAUGGGAUGAUUGAAUAGGACUCCGGUGCUAUUUUGUUGGUUUCGAACACCAGGAGUAAUGAUUAACAGGGACAGUCAGGGGCACUCGUAUUCCGUCGAGAGAGGUGAAAUUCUCAGACCAAUGGAAGACGAACCACUGCGAAAGCAUUUGCCAGGUAUUUUUUCACUGAUCAAGAACGAAAGUUAGGGGAUCGAAGACGAUCAUAUACCGUCGUAGUCUUAACCAUAAACCAUGCCGACUAGGGAUUGGAGGGGGUUCGUUUCGACCUCUUCAACACCUUACGGAAAACUAAAGUCUUU
rnacentral:rRNA from 1 species